GAUUAGCAAGUCAGCCUCGUUCUUAAAACCCACCAUUACCUCAUCAGGUAGUGUAGUCUCAACUACUUGUCUGACAGGAUUUGGUGCUUGUUCUUCGAUUGGGACUUCAACUUCUUGCGUAAUCGUAGCAUGGAACUCUUUCAAAUGAUCCCUUACAACCUUAGUUUCUGUUGUGAUCUUACAUAACAAAUGUAGAUACCAAACAGGAUAAUCUCCGGUAACCAGGCAAUCAAUUAUGCAUUCUGCCUGGUAUGCUAGAGAUAUGACUUCUGUCCAUAGAUCAUGUUUCUUCACCUCCUCAAACUCAUGUUUUUUCUUCUCAACUUCCUUCAAGAAGUAUCUUAAGAGAUAUAACUCUUCCUGAGCUUCUUCAAUAAGAUGCUUGACAACAGAAUCACACUUUCCGUCUUGCAGCAGCUCUUUCAGAUAGCGUAAGAGAUAAUCGAUAAACCCCAAUCCAUUUGUCCUAGGAAAAUUACAUUUUGAUGACACUACAUCUUUCAGAAUCACAUCUUUUAGAUCUUCCAUGACAUGUUCAAUCUUUUUUAACAAGUCACUGAAUACCGAGUUAACUUCUGCUGCUUUGUCAACGGAGAAAGAGAAAGCAGCAGAUACUACCUCAGCAAUCGAAAGAGAAAGCAACAGAUACUACCUCAGCAAUCAGACCUUCAAUGCAAGUAAGUUUGUCACUCAUUUUUUCCUGUAUAACAUAUAAAUCUUCUGGUGGACAAAUGAGCAAAGUUACCAAUUGCUUUGAUGCUUCGGCAAGGCUUUUGAUUUGAUCCUUUUUAAGAGGAAGCAUCAAAGAACAUGCCUCACCGUCUGAUAACUCCAACAAAUCCUUGAAGAUGAAAUGAACAAAACCUUCAACAAAUUCUAUCACAUCCCGGCUGUAUUGGAUUUGCAAUUUAACUGAACCUCUUAGAGCUCCAGUAUAGAUUUCUGCAACGUCCGGAUCAAUGGGCUUGAUAUAUUUCAAAACAUGAGAGAUUUGAAGUGUCAACACAGAUGCUGAAUCUCCAUCCAUUUCUUCCACAUAACAAAGGUAACAUAUGUAUGCAGCAUUCACUGUGAUGCCCUCUAUAUGAUUAAAAAGAAUGUUGGAUUUCUCUAGCUCCAUGCUUGCAUCUUUUAUGAAAUUGAGGAAGGUUUUUAGAUAUUUUAGACUUUCUUCAAGGACUUGAAACUCUUUCUUCAGAAGUACAAACUUGUCGAAAUCUUUCUUGUUGAUGAGAAGAUCCUUCACAUUCUGAAGGAUGUGCUCAAUGAAUUUCUGAAACACUGGGCUGCAUAAAUUUGGUAAAGGCCACCUCCCUGGAACCAAUGAAAGGAGAAACUUAUAACCUUCUUUGACUUCAGCAGAAGAUAAGUCUGCCCUUGGUCCCGAGACAGUGUCACCGACUUGCAUUCCAUGUUCGCGCAAUCUCCCCUCCUUAAUCCUUCCUUUUUGAGUUGCCCAAAACAAAAAAGUACCAAGAAAUCUCCUCUCUAUUUCAGACAUUUGUUUUCCAGCAGAAUUUCCUCAGAGUGGAUAUAUGUCGACAGCUCUGCAAGCAAAGAGAUUAAAAGCAAAUCACAUUCUAGGACAAACAAUGCAUACUCCAUAAUCUAGUUGCUCUUCAUAUUGCGUGAAAUUAACACAGAAUUCCUUUAUAUGUUGAUUGCACUCUUCCUCUUGUAUCAGAACAUUAUGCUUGAUUGUAACUAACAAACAGAUAAUAUUUAAGAAAAAGAUGUGUGUGAUCACAAAUAACAAAAACUGUUUGGUUGCACUAAAUGUUUUCUGGAAAAUGUGAAGUUAUAUCUGAAAGUCACAAUGCAUACUCUUAACUCUACACAACUAGGGGAAUGGGGAAAAAAGUCACCAGGAAAAACAAUAACAGAAAAAGAACUGGUUCCAAAGAGUUCUGAUUGUCUACUACUUACUUUUGCCUAAACUAGUUACCCUUUGUUAAUCCAAGCAAGUGAAAUUGUACAAUAACUGAUACUAGGGUCAACCUUCAAUAUUUCUUAGAGAAUUGUCACGAUUUGUUUUUUGAUGCUCAGGACAAAAUAGUGACUUUAUAUAUCAAUGCUACUUAUGUGAUUUUGAUUGUCAGGAAGUUUGCUUCAAAAUAGUUAUUACUAUAUAAAUAUUUUCCUUUUGUUUUUCUUAUUUACUAUUUCUUAAUAUUUCAGUAUUUUAGACGAAGAAAGGUUCAUAUGACUUGUAAUAACGCUAGUUGAAGUUUGUAUUAGUUUAAUACUUAUUAUUUAUUUAAUAGCUAAUUUUUAUGCUAUAAAUAUUUUUAUUAAUGCAAAUAUCUCUCUCUCUCUCUCUCUCUCUAUAUAUAUAUAUAUAUAUAUAUAUAUAUAUUUGUAUUUAAAUUAAGGUAUUAUAUAUGUCACGACUCACAAAUGUAUUAUCAAGUUAACAAAAUCUUCUAACUUCAAUAUAUAUUAUUUUAAAAUGUUCCGAGUUCUUUUUUUUAAAAAAAAAAACUCACAACAAAUGUGAAAAUAUGUGAACAUAUAUGAAUCAUUUAAAAUUUAUCAUUAACAAAAUAAACUUUAUAAUCUGUAAUAUAGAAUAAACAUUUUCAUUUUGUCCCUACACUAAAUUAAAAUCUAAUCUAUCUAUCUAUAAAAGGAGAAGAAAAAGUGCCACGUGUCAGCACCACAAAAAAACUAUAAUUAUUAUUAUUUAAAAAAUUAAUUAAAAAACUGAUGGUAAAAAAACAAUAAUUACCAUUAAAAAAAUUUAAAAACUUAUUUUUAAAAAAUAUUUAAAACGGUCAAUUAGUAGUUAGUUGUAGAAAUGGGGUAGUUUUUUUUCCAUUCACUUUUAAAAUUUAUCUAUAUAUAUCUAAAAAACAAAACAUUUUAAAAAAACAUAAAUAAAAAACAGUUUUUAAAAAUUGUUGACCAAUAAUUUUUUAUAUUAUUAUACAGCCCCUAUAUAUGUGAUAACAUGGUGUUAUUUUUCCUUGGAUGAAUUAUGCUUAAGUUAAUAAAUUGAAAAUCGUUUACAAGUAUAUGAACUAUAUCUUUGUUGGGUGUAAGAUAAACAUGUGAUUAUAUAUAUGAUUUCACAAAUAGAAUAUAUUCUUUAAUUUUAAUUUUUAGUUUUUCGGGUAAAAAAAAAAAGGAAACUUUUCUCAGUUAACUAUGGACAGUUAGAUAACUAUCUUUGAUUUAUGUACACAAUCAAUCGAGAAGUCAAAUAUGAGAACCAACAACAAGAAUGUCAGUUAUUAUGUUAUAACUUACAAAAUAAAAAUUAAUAUACAAAAAAUAGUUCUAAAAAAUAAAAUUUUGUUGUUUUCUUCACAUGCUCAUAUGGCAUAUAAACAGUUUAACAUGGAAUACACGUGCAAAACACAUCUGGUUUGACAAGAAAAAUACACAACAAAUAUCGUCUAUAAGGUAAUAUUAGUGAGAUACGACUAAUUACAUGAUUGAACCUCAUCAAAUUGAAAUAAAUAUAUACAUUAUUGCAUUUAACUAAUAAAUUUCUUCAUUGACCAUCUUCAUAGGUUCGCGUGAAUAAAAGAUAUAUAUGACGAUCCACAUUGAACAUUCACAAAAGAAUUUGCAGUAUUAUUUUGUGCAAAGCUUAUUAUUCAAAUCUUCGCUUAAUUAAGCUAGCGGGUCACAGACGGAUUUCUCGGUUAUCAAAAAAAAAAAAAAAACUAUUUACUAUAACAUAUAUUUUUUGAAUUGGUAAUCACGUAUCGAAAAACUAGUUAAUACAAAUUAAGUUUGUUCAAAAGUCUAUCACGUACCUUUUGUAACAACUUUGACAGAGCAGAAAACAGUGAUCCAGGUUUCACUACUUUGUUCUAUACUUUUAACCAGAAAGAAGAAUGAACAAGAGAUUUUAGGACUCCGGAGAGCAAAGUCCCGUACUUGCUUCCCUGACUAAAUAUUUUCACUUAAUAUAAAGCAUAAUAAUGAAAUUAAAUUACACCUAAUGAAGAAUUAAAAAUGAUUCAACUUUAUUGUUGCAUUAUACCCCAAUACAUUGCAUUUCAUUAUGGCCACUUGUGAUGGUUAAGAAAUGGAAAAAAAAAAGAGUUGACCUUAAUACAUAUAUAAUCUUAGAGGUGUUGCUUUCAGCUAAUGCCACUUGCACAUAGAAAAUAUGGCUGAUAGCCUUACCAGGAGACCAUUUAUUAAAAUAUGGCAGGAAGUUAGUCAGAUAUAGCUCUAAGGUCACGACUCGGUAUCAUAUUAGAUCAUUGACAUCCCACAUUACCUUUUCAUUACUACUAAAUACCAACUGCCUAUAUAGAAAAUUAGUUCAAAGCCCUGCUUUUCGCCAACUUCAGAAUUUUGGAAAUAGAAAGGAGAGUUGACCUUACCUUAAUCAACGGAGUAUAUAAUAUUGAUCUUGGAGAAGUGUCUACGAAAUUUACCUUUUCGUAUGGUAGGAAAGAUGGUUUUUCUAUAUAUAUGUUCAUUUUUUCUUACACAACUCCAUAGCAGCCGUCUCUCUCUCUAAUUAGAUCAUUGAAAUAUCUCAUGAUUUACGGAAGAAAGUCCUCAUUUGCUGCUACCAAUUUCACCACUUUGUCAAACAUCAGUUAAUUGGCAAAGAAAAGUCAAAUAAGACAAAGUUAAACAUUCAUCUUGUCAUUGAUUUCACUCAUGAUAUUAUUAGUAUAGAAAGCAGAAUGAGGUAUACCAUAGACUGUACAAAAAAAUAGUCUGGUAAGAAAAAUAGAGCGUUAGCGAUCAUCUGUUAUCGGAACUAGCAAUAUGGAUCCUAACUCAUUAGAUCUUAAGCUAGCCAACUUGUAUAGGUGUUUCAGUACUAAUUCCCAUUUGAGAGAGAAUUUUAAACUUGUUUGUUGAAAUUAAUCCAACACAUUGACGGUGAAGCAAUAGUCCAUUACAUUGAUAUAUUACACCCUAUGUUCCUAAACACGUUGAAUGAUUCCCUGGUUAAUCUAGACGUGAAGAUCACUGCCCUGACGGCGAUGAGUAACUUCAUUCAACGGGUGGGAGUUCAAAGGUAGGGAGAGGUUUCAGGAUCUGUUGCCUGCGAUGAUGGACAUGCUGAAUGAGGCAUUGGAAGAAAAUUGUGAGGCAUCAGCUCAGUCUGAGUUCGAGAUUUUGAUUGAGUUGGCCAAGAAUGAGCCUAGCUUCUUCAGGAUGCAGCUUGUGGUUGUGGUGGGUUCCAUGUUUGAUAUAGCUGAAUGUGAGAGUUAUGAAAAGAAAACGAGACAUUUGGCGGUUGAAUUCGUGAUGACAUUGGUUGAGGCCAGGGAGAAGACCCCUGGCAUGAUCAAGAAGUAUCCAUUGUUUACUGAAAAAUAUUUUGCAAUUUUAUUGAAUUUGUUAAAGGAUGAGGUUUAUGACCCUCUCUUGCCUGAUCCUUAUGGUAGAUGGGAUAGCAAUGAUGAUUUAGUUUUUCUUAAGAUGUGUUUAAACCGGUUGUCCAAUGCGCUGGGUGGUAAGACUGUUGGUCCUGUUGCCUUUGAGCAGCUCCCUGCUUACUUGGCUGACGACUCGUGGCAGAAGCCAUGCGCAGCACUCUAUGCACUUGCUCAGAUUGUUGAAGGCUGCUCAGAGGUGUGUAUUUAUUGAUACACUACUAAGAAUUGCAUUUAAACUGAUUAGUUAACGAUCUUGGGAUAGCAGAAGGUCACCUUGAUUAUACUUUCUUCUGUUAUUCUCUAGACUAAGUACUUUGCUUGCUCUCAUCUCUUCUUCAUUAUAAUAGGUGAUGAUUAAGAAUAUGAAUCUAGUGGUGACAAUGGUUCUGGAUUGUAUGGGACAUCCUCAUCCUGGAGUCAGAUUCGCCUCCAUGGAAGCAAUUCGCAUGUUUUUGCGUUUAAUGCGUCCCCAUUUUCAAGAACAAUGUCAUCACCAAGUAGUGCCAGCAUUAACCAAAGCUAUGGAUGAUGACAGUGUACAAGUGCAGGUCUGUAUGUCCUACGAUGAUAUGAACUCCUUUGGAUGCUCGUAUCAUAUGUCCCAAAUUACAGUUGCAAAAUUUUCUUACUGAACCUUCUCAAUGGGCUUAACUUUAACUUUAUUAGAUAUAAUCCCUGCUCUAACUUUACUAUCUUCAUAUUUUCCUAGGUCAGUGUCAUACGCACGGUCUGGAAGUUCCUUGAGGUUGGCACGCCUGAAUAUUUGACACUUUACAUCCAUGGAUUACACAAUAAAUUGCUUCAACUGUCGUCACAUACUGUUGCGGCGGUACGUAUUGUAGACUAAGUGCAAGAGAAAUCAGAUCAUUUUCUUGAACAAUGAACAGACAAUAUUACGAAUACAUUUAAGGGAAACAACCAUAAUUUCCAAGUUCCCAAUAUAAUUAUCCCGCCCUCCUUUAUAAAUUCAAAGCUUGUUACUCCCUUGAAUGUCCUUGAGGUCUUUACUUGCCUGAUUUUUUUUUUUUGUUUUUGACAUGAAAGGUCCAAAAAUCAGCGUCACUUGUACUCGAUCGUUUGCCUAAGCAUUUUAAGGUAUUACCUAGUAAUUCUGCUUCAACUUUUAUUAAGAGUAUGUUGUAUUAAGCUGGUUAUAUAUAUAUUAAUAUUAACAUUACUUCAACAGGAGUUCUAUGGGAACAACUACGAAUCUAUUAAACCACUUUGGAAAGCUUCCCUGGUAGAAGCAAAUUUUCCAAGUAAAGAUGUAGAGAUGAUCAUGUCAAUGCGCAAACCUGGCAGUUCGGUAUUUCCAAAACAGGUCUUCCACCAGUUAUACCAAAUGGAUUCUAUACAUCUCACUGAACUUAGAGCUUAUUGUUUAUUCGUUUUCUAUUUUUCUAUUUAGAACUUAGAGAUUAUGGAAGCAGUUAUGUCAUUACAAGGAUCACAAGAGGAUGAUAAGGAUACAAGUACGAUCUACAAGCUAGAGGUAUGUGUUGUUGAGAAUAUCGUUAACUAAUAAAAUGGUGUUCUCUCUAAUAGCUUAAGCUUUUAGAUGAGAUGGUCACGCACUUCAACAUGUUAUCAGAGCAGGCAGAGGCCCUGGGAUCAAAUCUCUUCGCCACCUUUCAAAUUAAAAAGAAUUUCCACGUGCUAAUCAGUCAGACAUUCUUUCAAGAUUGGUCUCUCUAUAUUUCUUGAUCUCAUUGCAGGCUAUUAGUGUAAUUUGUGAGGACAGAGGGAAAGAUUUUCUUCCUUGCACCAGCAUUGUCAUGCCCCUUUUGUUUCAAUGUGCUCAACUCGAACCUGAUAAAAUCAUAUUAUCUCCAGAUUCAGACCAUACUUGUUUAGCUGAUAAUAGGUACGCCUUUUUGUCUGAUCAUUGCUCUGAGUGAUCGCCUUUUUAUGUACAUUAUAACAUCUUGCAGUAUACACAGAGUCAAGGUUGGCAAUUCAACGAUAUGUAUAAAAGAAAGUUCCCUAAAGAAGAAAGCUUUAGCAUGUAAAGCCCUAGUCAUGGUUGCUUACAAAUUGAAGGAAGACUUUUACCCAUGGAUUUUCCAGGUUGUCACACUUGGACUUCUCUCUUUUUCUUUCUUUCUACCCGUGCUUUUGAUCGCGAACUGAAAAUUUGACAAGUGGUUUCAAUGGCCUAAUGCUUGAUAAAUGAUACAGACUGCUUCAAUUUUAUUUCCACUUUUGAAAUUCCAUUUCAAAGAGGUCAGGUUCCAUACAGUUGAAGGUGAGAUUUCUCAGGAUUUCACAUAGUUAAUUUCUCCGUCUUUUAUAACUAUCUGAUCACCUCCAAGACUUUUUAAUUUGUAAUGUUUAUAGCGAUGAAGCACCUUUUGCAAUCUGCUAAACUGGCUGAUGAGAAAGGGAUUGCUCCAGGUGAAAGCCAUUCGGAUUUCAAGCAGUUUUCGGACAGUAUAAUACUGAAUUUGGUGGAAGCUUUGCAUGAGGUUUACUUUUAACAUUAAGCUUCUUCUAUUUGGAUAAUGAGAAAGUAACACUUUGAUUUCUAUAUAAUGCAGGAGCUUGAAACAGAGAUAUAUGUACAUAUGUUGUAUACAUUACGACUGUGCCUUCAGGUUCGUGAUCUUUAAACACUGCUUAUUUGUUUUGAUCCAAAGUUUUCAGUGUUUCACUAUGAGCUAGGUAUGAAGUUUUUUGAAAAUGUUGCCUAUGUGGACCACUUCUCAAUGAAGAUCAGCUUCGUCCAGUCGUGGAUGAGAUAAAGCAUGUCAUUACAGAAAAUUUAAAUAGCCAAGGAAAACUCACAGAGAGAGAAAAAACAGAAGACUUCGAUGCUGAGGAAGCUGAAUUGCUGAGAGGGGAAAAACAUCAACAAGAUCAAAUAUUUAAACUUGUAUGUUCUAUAUUAAAACAGGAACUAAAGUGAUACACUGUUGUCUUUAUAUAUUCAAGCAUUUUCGCUUUGGUUCUGCUGUUAUUCUUGAACAGGCUGGUGGCAUAUUAGGUAGACUAAUCGAAUCAUUCAAGGUUGUUUUCUUGCCUUACUUUGACGAGCUAUCAUUAUAUCUGAUUCCGAUGUGGGUAAGUUCAUUGACACUAUUGUAACAUGACGUUAGUUUAUCAUUAUUCAUAUCUAGCAUAUCUUAUUGUUUCCGAUUUUUGUUAAGGACAAAGAAAUGACAAGUCUAGAGAGAUGUACAUCACUUUAUAUCUUUGGUGGUCUUGUGAAGCAUUGCUCUGAAGCAGCUCUAAAGUGAGUUUAAUUUAUCUGUAUGAGUUUUUCUUAAAUUAUUGGGGUGUCACCAUUUUGAUAAAUCACUUACUUCCUAUGCCAACUAGGUACUGUAAUGAAUUUCUACCUUUGCUUCUGAAAUCAAGCAAUGACGAAAACCCAGCAGUUAGACAGGUUUGGAUCAUCGUGAUUGCUUACAUUCCUGUUACUCAAGUUGGUUGCUCACAGUAUGGUUUAACCAAAACACCAAUGACUUCAUGUUCAGAAUGCUCUACAUGGACUUGGGUUUUAUGCAGAAUAUCAUGGUUCUGUUUUCAAACCUUUUGUUAGAGGUAUUAAUAUUGUUGAAUGUGAUACUUCUAAUCAAGCAAGUGUUUUUGUUAACUUACGCGUUUAUGUUCAGAGGCUAUGUCACGGAUCAAUGUAGUGAUAAUGCAUUUACGUGCUCGUGAACCUGAGAAUGAACUUGCAUAUGAUAGUGCUGUUUUUACCCUUGGUAAAAUAUUUCAGUUUCAUCGAGAACUUAUCGACUCAGCCCAGGUUUGUCCUUCUCAGAAUCCCUAAUGUUAAGUCUUGUUAUAAUUUCUGAUUCUGAAUCCUUGUGUAGGUCAUUCCCAUUUGGUUGAAUUGCCUGCCUGUAAAAGGUGACUAUGUUCAUGGUCAACUAUGUUCCAUGGUUGAAAGGUAUUGGAUUUGUUUGCAAACUCUAAUAUGUCAUAUCUUCAUAAAAUGCAGGAUUUUAUCCCACGUUUAGUUGAAAGUAUUAUGUAAUCAUAAGACUAUUUAUCCCACCAUUUAUACCUUAGUGAUGUGAUAAGUUAUUUCAUUCCGAAAUAGUUGAUGUCAGGAUAACUUAUUCCAAACCAAAUGACCCAUUAAUGAUUUAUCAAAUUUUCUCAAUUUCAGGUCAGAUAGAGAACUUUUGGGUACCAAUUAUGAACACUUCCCAAAAAUUAUGUCAAUUUUUGCAGAGGUUAGUUCCAUAUCAGAAUCUAUAGAUGCCAGUUUGAGUUGUUUAUUUGCUCCUGAUAAAUAUUAAAUGAGAUAAGUAUUGAAAACAUUCUUAGAUUAGGUGUAAAUUAUUAAUUUCAUAAUCGAACUAUUGACAAUCUUAAAAACACUCAAUUCUUUGACUAACUAAACUUACACUUCUGAUCUUGCAACAUGACCGAAAUACAUCCCUAAUUUAGGGGUGCUUUCAACACUCCUCUAUGAAAUAUGGCAGAUCAGAGAUGUAUCUAAGUUUAAUCUGGUCAAAUAGAGGUGUAUUUUUAAGACUAUCAAUAAUUCAAGAACGAAACGAACAAUUUGUGUCAAGUUUAAGAGUGUUUUUGAAUCAAACUAAAGACUUUUUUUAUUCAAUUUCGUAUAGUUAAUUUAGUUUCACUUUUUAAGGUUAUAUGUGGUGGAAAACAUCUUGCUACAGAAGAAACAACAAAGUGUAUGAUUAAUCUGUUGAGGAAUCUUCUUAAAGAACUACCACCAGACACUUUGACAUCAGCAUGGUCAUUGAUAUUGCCUCAGCAAGAAAUGGAACUAAAAGCCAUUUUAUUUCCUGGAAUACUUCAUGUGGUACGUUUUCACAACAAAACAUUUUGUAUGCUUGACACUGAUACCAAUGAAAGCUCUCCCCCUUACUCUUUACCAUCCAAAAUUGUCAAACUUCUCGAGGAAGAACAUCAGAAAAAUAGUAUUAUUGUUCCACAAAUGUAACUUAUAAACCAUAAAUUGUUUCUUUAAAGUUUUGUAUCAUUUAAGUAUACAAGAUGAUACUAUAGUUGAUUUGUGGGGAAUUGAAUAUGUAAUUAUCAUUAGACUAUCUAUGUUAUAUCUUUUUACGAUUUAUCUAUCCAUUUGGAAUUUCUUUAUUUUAGUUUUUCAUAAGUUGAAAUUCAUAUUGUGGCAUAUAAUUUAAAUAAUUGUUUAUUAAAAUUAAACAAGUCAAACCUUAAGGACCUAAAAUCUAAACCUGACGGCAUAAACCCUGAGAGGUCGUUUGGUGUGAAAGAUAACUUUAAAUAGUCCUACGAUUAAAUUAUAAUGUCACUAAAUUUGUUGUUUGAUUGGCAAUUUCGUGAUAACUUAUCUCAUGAUUAAUAAUUAAUACAAGGAUAAAUUAUCCCUUCCCUUGGAUGGUACAAUAAUCCCGAGACAAUUUAUCACAAGAUAAAAUGACUAAAUGACAAAAAUAUCUUUUUAAACACUUUUUAUACAUUAUUUUUCAUAUUCAUGAACGGUAUUUUUGUAAGCAUAUAUGUUGUUCUUAAGAUUUAUUAUUUUGAAUACAACAAACCAAAAAUUCAAUAAAAAAUAAUAUCAAUAUAACUUAUUCCAUCAUAACUUGAAUUCAAACCAAACGACUGCAUCUUAGAGCCCAAAAAAUAAACUCAAAACUCAAAAUCAUAAACCCUAAACCUUAAACCUUAAACCUUAAACCUCAACCUUAAAGUCUAAACCAUAAACCCAAAACUCAAAAGCUUGGGGCCUAAAACCUAAGAUUUACGAUUUAUGGUUUAGGAUUUAGACCAGGGCUGUCUUAACCCCUAGGCCACUAAAGCCAUCGCUUGGGGCCCCAUAUAUUUUGGGGCCCCCAUUUAAAAAAACAAUUACUUAUAUAUGUUAUUUAAAAAAUAAUAAUUAUAUGUAUUAUGAGUGUUAUGAUUUCUACUAAGGAAAUUGCAUAUGAGAUGAAAAUAAACUGAAUUUCGUAAGAAACAAUUUGAUGAAAAUGUGGAUAGCGAAAUCACAAAGUCCUUUGAAGAACCUUUUAGAAUUGGUUGUUUUAUAUAUGUAGAGUAGAUCAAACUAUUUUUUCACUUCAAAAUAGAUUUAAAUCAAUUGAAACAUAUGGAAAUAUUUUUGAUUUCUUAUUUAGUGGUAAAAUAUUGAGAUCACUAGAUGAACAUAUGGAAAUAUUUUUGAUUUCUUAUUUAGUGGUAAAAUAUUGAGAUCACUAGAUGAACAUAUGGAAAUAUUUUUGAUUUCUUAUUUAGUGGUAAAAUAUUGAGAUCACUAGAUGAUGAGAAUUUUUUUUUUUGUCUUAACUUUGAACUUUCUUUAUCAUGUGAUAGUUAUUAUGAUAUUGAUGGUUUAGAUUCAUUUUUUGAAUUAAAAGUGUUAAGGGAAAUAAUACAAGUAGAAGAUAAUGAUCUAAUGAAAAUNNNNNNNNNNNNNNNNNNNNNNNNNNNNNNNNNNNNNNNNNNNNNNNNNNNNNNNNNNNNNNCUCAAUCAAAUAAAAAGACUUGAUUCUUUUCCAAAUACUCAUAUUGCUUAUAGAAUAAUGUUAACAGUUCCUGUAACUAUUGUCUCAGCCGAAAGAAGUUUUUUGCGAAAUUAAAAUUGAUUAAAUCUUCUUUAAGAUCAACAAUGUCUAAAGAGAGAUUGAAUGAAUUAGCUAUAUCAUCAUUUGAAAAGAAAUUAUUAAAACAAAUUGAUUAUAAUAUAGUACCUAAUGACUUCACAUCUAAAAUAGCUAGAAAAGUAGAUAUUAAAUAAAAGUAUUUAUGAUGAAAAAAAAUUAGGGCCUCUCUCUUAAGUUUCGCUUUAGGCCCCCAAUGUUGUUGAGUCGGUCCUGAUUUAGACUCUAAGAUUUAUAUUUUAGGGGUUAUAGUUUAUAGUUUUGACUAUAAGAUUUAGGAUUUAAGAUUUAUAAUUUUAGAGUUUAGGCCUUAUGGUUAAGUGUUUAGAGAUUAAGAUUUAUAAUUCAUGUAUAAAUUAAAAUAUAGGGUUUAGGUCCAAGGUUCAUAUGGUUAUUUGAGGUCAAUCUUUAAGAAUAAUUGAACCAAACCCAUUUGAACCCAAAAUAAAUUUGAACGCAUUGAUCAACUUCGUGAUUUUUUUCUACACUUUUGACUCUUCAUCACCUUUCUACAAUUACAAUUGUUUCACAAAUCCUUUUUUAAAAUCUUUCAAAACAUAAUUAUAAAAAAUAUCUUUGUAAAUCCAUUCUAUUUCCUAAUCCCUUUCAUAAAACAAAUAAUCAAAAUAGCCUCAGAAGGAAGGCAGUAGUAUAGUCAUAAUCAUUAUUUUGAUCAUUAACGCAAAUCUACUCAUCAUCGGCAAAAAAAUAAUAAUUAAAAGAAACAAAAAAACAAUUAUUAUUGUAAUGCUUGAAAGUUUUGCAAUUUUCCUAAUUCAAAAUUAUUGACUAUCGAUUUUGAUAAUGUAUUUCUCAAAAUUGUUGUGUGAAAUACAUGAGUAAAAUUUUGACUAUCAAUAAUUUUGACAUGAGUAAAAUACAUCUGAACUCAAAAUUCAAAAUACAUUUCAAAACUCAAAAUUAAGAGUCAAAUUUGAGCAUAAAAUUUAGGACUUGGAAUCUAAACUCAAAAUUUGAAAGCAUAUACCUUAGGGCAUAGACCCUAAACCUUAAGAGCCUAAACUCUAAACAUUAUGUCCAAUUUUAUGAACCCUAAAUCUUGAACCUUAAAUCCCAAGUCAUAAACCCUAAAAUCUUAGAACUUAACCCAAAACUCUAAACCUUAAAGCCUAAACCUUAAACCUUAAACCUUUAAAUCCUAAAUCUUAAUGUUUAGGAUUUAUGAUUUAUGGUUUUAGAUUUUAAAAUUUAAGAUUUAGAGUUCAGACAAUAUGGUCAAGAGUUUUAAGUUUUAUGAUAUAAGAUUUAGGCCUUAAAAUUUGAAGUUUAGAUUUUAACAAUUAGCCUCUAAACUUUAAGAUUAAAAAUACAGCAUUUGAACAUUAUUAUAAUAAAUAAUUAUGUAGUACCCCAACGUCCAAAUACACCACAAAAAUUAGAUGCAGAGGAUAGCGAGGGGAACAUUAUUAUAGCUUCACUUGCUAAAGUACCACACCAUAAAAGUGUAAUCCACAAAAUAUAAUUAGCAAAGCAUAGAACAAUUAACAACAACAUACCCAAUAAAAUCCCCACAAAUCCACGCAAACCUUAUCAUUAUCUCGUAAAAAAAAAUAAAAAAAUAUGAAAUUAAUUCAGUCCCUUAGAUGUUCAAUUAAUUGCGAUCAUCUUCGCAAAUCAUUACAGGUCUGUAACUGUAAAAAAUUAAUCAUCAUUGUUGUUUCAGAAAAGGGUCAAAAUUGUCCCCGAACUAUAUGAAAUAGACCAUUUAUACCCUUCGUUACAUUUUGGGAUCAAAAAUGCCCCUGCUGUUAUCCUAAGAGACCACAAAUACCCUCAAGAGUUAACACCCCAAAUUUUUGUUGAUGUGGCAAGCCACAUGGGACUAAUCCUUCCACCUAAGAGUUGCCAACUAGGAUUCACUACAAAAGAACUAGACUUUUAGCGGCAAUAACAGUCGCCACAAAAGCCCAGAAAAUCGUCACUAAAAGUUUUUAACAUUAAAUUCUAAUUUUGUGUUUUUUUCUUCAUUGUUUUUAAAAAACCAAAUAUGAUAUCGAUUAAGUAGGAGUUUGAAGACACUAUAUGUUUUAUUUUUAUGUCAUAUGUAAAUGUAUAAAAUGUACAAUGAUGCAUUAUAUAUAUAUAGUAGGAGAUUUGAAUCGAGAAGUAAUUUUGAUGAUUUUUCGUAAUAAUAUUGGAUAUUUUUAAUAUUGAUAUUGCAAAGUUAUUUAUUUUAGAAAAUUAGGUUGCAAUCGAAAAUUAAUUAUCAUAUUAUUUUGUUGAAAAAAUAGGUUUUACUAGCGAAUGGUUGUUGGAGCGUUAGUCGCCACUAAAAAUCACUCAUAACCUUUAGUGGCAAUAUUUUGAGGUUUUGUGGCGACUUUGUCGCCACUAAAAGUCAAGUUCUUUUGUAGUGAAUCUUAGUUGGCAAUGCUUAGGUGGAGGGAUUAGUCCCAUGUGACUUGCCACGUCACUAAAAAAUUGGGGUGUUUAACUCUUGAGGGUAUUUGUGGUCUCCUGGGAUAACUGCGGGGGUAUUUUUGAUUCCAAAAUGUAAUUGAGAGUAUAAGUGGUCUAUUUCGCAUAGUUCAGGGUCAAUUUUGACCCUUUUCCGUUGUUGUUUUCAUAUACAAUGAUUAGAAUAAAAUAUAUAUAAAAAUUUUUGAUGAACAAACUCAGUCCCUUAGAUGUUCAAUUUUUUGCGAUCAUUUUCGGCAAAUCAUUACAGGUCUGUAACUGUAAAAAAUUACUCAUCAUCGUUGUUCAUCAUCAAAAAACUAUUAUGAAAAAAAUUAAAAAAAAAGUUGUGGCUGCACCAAUUGUUCUCCACAGAUUAAAUUAAAUGAAGAGAAAGAUGAAAAAGGAACAACACACUUAUUAAUGCUUCAAGGGAACGAGUUGGUCAAAAAUAAAUUAUUUCUUGCCAACCAGAUUAAAGAAGCAUAUAACUCAAAAUAUAUACACAAAAAUAAUAAAUUUAUUUAGAGUUUAGAAGAUAUAUCACCAUCUAGCUGGAUAUGAUUAUUAUGCAUAAUGAAUAAAGGAAACAGCUUAAGAGAAAAACUGGUCCGUUAGAUCUCCUCUUUCAAUCGCAAUCUUCUAUUUCUGCACAGCAAAGAAACACUUCUCAAAUAUAUUUUACGAAAGAUUUAACAGGUAAAAGUGUACAAGCUCAAAAUAUGAUGCAAUUAAUCUUGAGUCAGUUACCUGUUAAACCAGUGUUGCCGCUUUUUAUAUGCAAGGGGUAAAUAAGGACCUUGAGCUCUGCAUUUGCAUAUCCUUCUUGCACUUCUUGAAUGUCCUUGACUGAUUUUUCAAGAGACUCACCACAUCGUUUCACUUCAACGUAUCAGAGCCUAAGGGCUCAAAUCUUUAGAUUCUCUAAAACAAAAUUUCAAUAAGGGGUCUACAGUAUAAAUAAAAUUUUAAUAUUCAAACAUUUCAAUAUUAUUUAAAUUAAUUUACCUUAGAGAUUGACAUAAUUCGAAAACCAAAUACCGAAUAAAUAAUUCAUAAAACUGAAAUUAUCAUCGCCGGACCAGUGACCACUAGUACCUCCAAACAACUCAAAAACAAACUACCACCCGAUCACACCAAAUCGGUCGUUACAUGAAAUGAGACAUUUCAUGGUAACGAUGGAUCUAAAUGAUACAAUACAAUAAAAUUUAAGUAACAAUCAACAUAAGUAUUGUAUUUAAACUAACUAUACAAUAUAAUGGGUAACAACCAUCCAAACAAGGUGUUAAUGUAAAAGCAUACAGAAUAUCAUAUAAUAAAGUUCAUAUAUCAAUGCAAUGGAUCCAUUGAAAGAAAGUAUUUUGAAGUACACACAAAACUCAAAAACAAGAAAAUUAUCCAUCUAGCUGGAUAUGAUUAUGCAUAAUGAACAGAGGAAACAGCUUAAGAGAAAAACUGGUCCGUUAGAUCUCCUCUUUCAAUCGCAAUCUUCUAUUUCUGCACAGCAAAGAAACACUUCUCAAAUAUAUUUUACGAAAGAUUUAACAGGUAAAAGUGUACAAGCUCAAAAUAUGAUGCAAUUAAUCUUGAGUCAGUUACCUGUUAAACCAGUGUUGCCGCUUUUUAUAUGCAAGGGGUAAAUAAGGACCUUGAGCUCUGCAUUUGCAUAUCCUUCUUGCACUUCUUGAAUGUCCUUGACUGAUUUUUCAAGAGACUCACCACAUCGUUUCACUUCAACCAUCUUUAGAGUAGCAAUAUGUCCAACCAUGGAAGGAAUUUCUCGAAGAUUAAAGCAGUUUUCUAUAAGAAUGUGUUCGAGGUUGGGAAAGGACUCAUCUGAUGCAUUCCAUGUUGUUAUUGUAAGGGAUCUUAAUUUAAGAACCUUGAGGUUCAGAAACUCUUCAUCUUCGAUCUCCCAUUUGUCCUGCUGAAAUGCUCUAUGUUCCAACUUGAGAACCACUAAAUUUGGUAAUCUUCCGAUAUUAGACAGUUCACUUUGUGGCAACAAAACAUCUGAUAGAGUUAGCUUUGUUAGUGUCGCGGGCAAGGUGAAAUUCAAAAUCUUACCGUUUACACUGAGUGUUUCAAGUUGAAGAGCAUGUAAUUUGAGUUUGAGAGGCUCUUUACAGUGGCAUUUGAGCUUUCGCAGUCUGCUUGCCUUCUUGACCAUGUAGUCUACUAGCUCAUUAGUGAGAGACACUGUGGCCAAGGUCUCUAUGUUUGUCGAUGUCUGAGGAAUGCGUCCAUCAAAAGAUGCAACAGGUUCAACAUGUACAUGCUUUAGCCUUGGCAUAUUCCAGAUGGUCAUCGGUAAAAUUGUGCCACUGCCUACUGUUAUUACAAGCAAUACCUCUAGGUUUGAAAGGUUCGAUAUCCAUAAUGGCAUAGAUACCAUAUAGCCUUUGAUUCCUAAGUACUUCAAAUGGAUCAGCUCUUUUGAUCUCUGGAAUGAACUCUCCGACAUAGUACAUUCCAUUUGUAGUACUCUUAAUAGUUUAAAGUUCUCAAGAUCAAGAAAUUCCUGGCAGCCAGAUUUCGGGGGUCUGAAGAAUGCAGAUCGAACUUGCAUGUUUCCAAUCUUCCCUGCCCAAUAAAGGCUAUGAUGAAUGCAAAGCCUCCGGUGCUCAUAAAAGGAACUAGACAAAUCAGUCUUCCCGGUGCUUGUUAGUUGCAUAAACUUCUCUUCCUUAGACUUUGUCAUGCAAAAAUCAUGUAACAUAUCAUGAAUGCGGCAUGUUCUGACUCCUCCAGUGGACUUUCUCUUGCUCACCAUUAUCAAGCUUCUACCAAUGAGAUCAUUCAGUAAACUUUCUACAGCAAGGUGUAUACUUUCUACCUCUAUGUUUGGCACCAAUCCCUCAAUAGUCCAUAACCACUCCAAGUUCGAGAGUGGAAUUUCUUCAUCCUUUUGAAAUGAUGCAAAAUAUAGAAGGCAGGGUUUGAGAUGAUCAGGCAAGUGCUUGUAGCUCAGUUCUAUAACCUCCAUGCACUCUUUUGCACUAGUAACAGUAUCUAACUUUAUACUCUCUGCGACUCUUCUCCAACUUUCCUCAUUUUCGCUUAUCCCAGACAAAACUCCAGCAACCAAAAUCACAAGGAGAGGUAGUCCUUUACACUUACUCGCGAUGUUUGCUCCUACUUUUGAUAGGUCUGGUGGGCAAGUUUGUUCCUUGAACAGCUUGAUUUUCAUUAGUUCCCAACUUUCAUUUUCGUCAAGAAAACGAAGUUCAAGAGGUUCUCUUCCACGUGUAAUGUUGGAAGCCACAUCAAUGUUUCGGCUGGUUAAUAAAAUCCUGCUUCCGUUUCCAUUAUCCGGUAAGCAUCUGUGCAAGUAUUUCCAUGUGUCAACACUCCAUAUGUCAUCAAUGUAGAGAAGGUACUUCUUUCUUAACAGAAAUUUCCGCAAAGCAUCUGCUGGAUCUUUCUCAUUCUGUUUGUUAGAACAUUUGACUUGAUUCAAAAUUCCGAGCAGCAACUUUCUUCUGUCAUAAGUUUGGGAAACACAACACAUAGCUUGGACGUCAAAAUGACGCCGCAUUUUCUUAUCAUGAAAAACUUUCUUUGCUAGUGUAGUUUUUCCAAGACCAGGCAUCCCUACGAUAGAAACAACAUCCAAGUACUUUGGUCCUAUAGUGAGCUGUUCGAUUAGCAAGUCAGUCUCAUCCUUAAAACCCACCAUUACCUCAUCAUGUUGUGUAGUCUCAACUACUGGUCUGACAGGAUUUGGUCCUUGUUCUUCAAUAGGGACUUCAACUUCUCGCGUAAUCGUAGCAUGGAACUCUUUCAAAUGAUCCCUUACAACCUUAGUUUCUGUUGUGAUCUUACAUAACAAAUGUAGAUACCAAACAGGAUAAUCUCCGGUAACCAGGCAAUCAAUUAUGCAUUCUGCCUGAUAUGCUAGAGAUAUGACUUCUGUCCAUAGAUCAUGUUUCUUCACCUCCUCAAACUCAUGGUUUUUCUUCUCAACUUCCUUCAAGAAGAAUCUUAAGAGAUAUAACUCUUCCCGAGCUUCUUCAAUAAGAUGCUUGACAACAGAAUCACACUUUCCGUCUUGCAGCAGCUCUUUCAGAUAGCAUAAGAGAUAAUCGAUAAACCCCAAUCCAUUUGUCCUAGGAAAAUUACAUUUUGAUGACACUACAUCUUUCAGAAUCACAUCUUUUAGAUCUUCCAUGACAUGUUCAAUCUUUUUUAACAAGUCACUGAAUACCGAGUUAACUUCUGCUGCUUUGUCAACGGAGAAAGAGAAAGCAGCAGAUACUACCUCAGCAAUCAGACCUUCAAUGCAAGUAAGUUUGUCACUCAUUUUUUCCUGGAUAACAUAUAAAUCUUCUGGUGGACAAAUGAGCAAAGUUACCAAUUGCUUUGAUGCUUCGGCAAGGCUUUUGAUUUGAUCCUUUUUAAGAGGAAGCAUCAAAGAACAUGCCUCACCGUCUGAUAACUCCAACAAAUCCUUGAAGAUGAAAUGAACAAAACCUUCAACAAAUUCUAUCACAUCCCGGCUGUAUUGGAUUUGCAAUUUAACUGAACCUCUUAGAGCUCCAGUAUAGAUUUCUGCAACGUCCGGAUCAAUGGGCUUGAUAUAUUUCAAAACAUGAGAGAUUUGAAGUGUCAACACAGAUGCUGAAUCUCCAUCCAUUUCUUCCACAUAACAAAGGUAACAUAUGUAUGCAGCAUUCACUGUGAUGCCCUCUAUAUGAUUAAAAAGAAUCUUGGAUUUCUCUAGCUCCAUGCUUGCAUCUUUUAUGAAAUUGAGGAAGGUUUUUAGAUAUUUUAGACUUUCUUCAAGGACUUGAAACUCUUUCUUCAGAAGAACAAACUUGUCGAAAUCUUUCUUGUUGAUGAGAAGAUCCUUCACAUUCUGAAGGAUACACUCAAUGAAUUUCUGAAACAAUGGGCUGCAUAAAUUUGGUAAAGGCCACCUCCCUGGAACCAAUGAAAGGAGAAACUCAUAACCUUCUUUGACUUC
rnacentral:lncRNA from 1 species